rnacentral:sRNA from 1 species
ACAUGGCAAAGUUCUCAGGGGUUUUUUUUGUUUUGUUUUUUGUUUUUUGUUUUUUGUUUUUGUUUUGCUAUGAAAGUGGUUUUCUUUAACUAGCAGGAAUUCUAAAGGUAACCUCACGUAGUUAUAAUGUUCAACUUCUCUGAAUGGAAAGCCGAGUUAAAAAGCUUUACAUCCUUCAAAAGCAGUACAAUCUUUAAUAAAAAUUACCCCAGUUAUAUUUACAACCACCAGGGUUAAAUAUAGGAAUAUGUUUUGUGGGAAACCACCAAACUGGCUUUCAAAGUGGCUGUUUUCACUCACACCAGCCACCUGCUGUCACUCCGUGUGUCUCUAGCUGCUGCCGGGAGUCUGAGUUUUAGCCAUUCUAAUAGACACGCAGUGGUAUCUCAUUAUUGCUUCCCUUUGCACUUCCCUGAUGGUUCUGACGGGGAACAUCUUUUGUGUGCUUCCUUGCAUCUGAAUGUCUUCUCUGGUGAGUUCUUCAAGUCUCAGGACUGUUUUUCCAGCAGUUGUUCGACUCCUAACAUCCUUUUUAAUUUUUCUGCCUUUUAUCUUUCCCUUGGGGUAGGACAUUGACCUCAGGGCCUCCUGCUCCUCAGGUAAGCAUUCUACCACUGAGCUACAUCCCCACCUUUCGCUUCUUUCUUAUUCUAUUUUAGGAAUUUAAGUAAAGAAUUGUAGAAAUAGAAGGUAUUUCUACUACAUUAAGAAGAUACCCGGAUCCUUUAACCUUCCGAUGACUAUUAUGGAACUUAAUUCAAGGGUCCAGAUCAGUAAUGCACUCGCUCUGUGGUACUCAACGGCUGCCAGCUCCUGGCUUAUCUUCUGGUACUCACGCUUACCGCACACUGCUGAGGCCAAACCACAAGAGCCAGACUAGCUCAGCUGAUCCCCAGCCUGGCCCAGAUUUGCCUGGAUGUUCUUGUCACCACCUGUCUUCUCUCCAUCCUUGCGUCACUUCUUGGACAUGCUAACAAAGAAAGUCCACAGCCCAGGGUAAAUGCAAAAGGAAGCUGCAGAGCAAGAGACCCUACAAAUGUGAUAAUGAACCCGUGAGUUAAGUGGAUCCUGGAACUGAGCCCUAGUCCACACGAAUGAUGUCACAAUCAGAGGAGAGAUUAACUCUAAGGGCGCAGAGGUAAACAGAUUAUUAUAGGUGUGAGUGAAAAUACGUGCUAAAGACAAGAGUCACAAGCAUCCACAUAACUAUUUAAAUAGUCAUGCUUUCUCUGACAUUAUACACUUCCCUUAUAAAAAUAUUUCAAUAAAAAGUUAUUUUACACAGAAGACAAAAUUCUA